CAGGCACCAGCCACAUGCCUGAUGCCACCCUCCUUCCUAGAGUGACAGCAUCCCCGUGCAGACCAGAGCUUUGCUGGCAAAGGUGAACGCCAGCUCUGAGCCUCCAUUAAGGGAGAACAGAUUUGUUGCUGGGCUUUUGGAGACUGAUGCCAGCCUAAAUCAAGAGAAAGAGGGAGCUGCUGCCUCACACUGGAGCAGACUGGACUCUGAUCUCUCAUAAAGGUAGUGUCUGCCCAGCAAUAUCCUGCCCUGAAGAAGAGGAGCUCCCAGGUCUUGCCAAGUGUCAAACGUGGAGAACUCAUCUCAUGGAGACCAGACUACACAGCAGCUUCCAUGCGUGGGUGUUCCCACUAAGUCCUUCUUACAGGCAAUCCGAAUUCAGCUGUUCACACAGGCAGAGUUGUGGUAAGAUAAUAUUCGAAUAAAAAGUGUUU
rnacentral:lncRNA from 1 species